rnacentral:rRNA from 1 species
ACGCUGGCGGCAGGCCUAACACAUGCAAGUCGAGCGGUAGAGAGAAGCUUGCUUCUCUUGAGAGCGGCGGACGGGUGAGUAAUGCCUAGGAAUCUGCCUGGUAGUGGGGGAUAACGUUCGGAAACGGACGCUAAUACCGCAUACGUCCUACGGGAGAAAGCAGGGGACCUUCGGGCCUUGCGCUAUCAGAUGAGCCUAGGUCGGAUUAGCUAGUUGGUGGGGUAAUGGCUCACCAAGGCGACGAUCCGUAACUGGUCUGAGAGGAUGAUCAGUCACACUGGAACUGAGACACGGUCCAGACUCCUACGGGAGGCAGCAGUGGGGAAUAUUGGACAAUGGGCGAAAGCCUGAUCCAGCCAUGCCGCGUGUGUGAAGAAGGUCUUCGGAUUGUAAAGCACUUUAAGUUGGGAGGAAGGGCAUUAACCUAAUACGUUAGUGUUUUGACGUUACCGACAGAAUAAGCACCGGCUAACUCUGUGCCAGCAGCCGCGGUAAUACAGAGUGUGCAAGCGUUAAUCGGAAUUACUGGGCGUAAAGCGCGCGUAGGUGGUUUGUUAAGUUGGAUGUGAAAUCCCCGGGCUCAACCUGGGAACUGCAUUCAAAACUGACUGACUAGAGUAUGGUAGAGGGUGGUGGAAUUUCCUGUGUAGCGGUGAAAUGCGUAGAUAUAGGAAGGAACACCAGUGGCGAAGGCGACCACCUGGACUAAUACUGACACUGAGGUGCGAAAGCGUGGGGAGCAAAC